rnacentral:rRNA from 1 species
UACGGAGGGUGCAAGCGUUAUCCGGAUUCACUGGGUUUAAAGGGUGCGUAGGAGGGCAGGUAAGUCAGUGGUGAAAUCCCCGAGCUUAACUUGGGAACUGCCGUUGAUACUAUCUGUCUUGAAUACCGUGGAGGUGAGCGGAAUAUGUCAUGUAGCGGUGAAAUGCUUAGAUAUGGCAUAGAACACCAAUGGCGAAGGCAGCUCGCUACACGAAUAUUGACUCUGAGGCACGAAAGCGUGGGGAUCAAACAGG